UACAUCUUUUAUUGACAAACUAUUACAAAACAAAACUAUUAUAUAGCAUUUUCUUUAAAUAUUGCUAGCUAGAUAUCUCAAAGUAGCAGCCAUCAAUUUCCUGUUCCUCUUACAUCCAACUAAUUGUCAUUAACUUAGUCGCCUGAAGGUCAAAAGCUGAGAGAAGUGUUUUUCCCCCUCAAAUAUACUAAUUUAAAAUAAUAGCUGACAUAUACUAUAUAUCUUUAUAUUGACAAAUUACAUUAAAACGUUUUUUAAACAUUGCUAGCUAGAUAUCGGUCAUAUGAUAUCUAGCUAGCACCGUCAUUUCCUGUUUUAGGCAUACAAAAGUGUAAUUUCUAAGAUGAAAUGUGUUCUAGCCUACUCCCUAACUUAGUGUCCAUUUUUAUAUUUCAGAAUGGCCCUAAAACAGCUUCUUGGGACCAAACCGCCCACUGCUUAUUUUAAACCACCAGCAAUCCACCUAUGUGUGGUUCUCAAAAAAGAGCAGGCCAGGGUGGUGACCUGGAACUUUGGUGUAACGGGUGCGAGUCCAGCUGUGACUAAAAACAAUGUUGUAGUGUUUUUUUCGGACGGGAAGUCACUUACAAAGACAACAAUUUACGAGGAGAGAGAGGCCUACCCCAUGCGCCAAAUACAGCUGCAGCAGGGGGAAACAGUGAUUACACUGAGCCUGUGGAGGGAAGCUGCAGUCUGGGAUCUGCUCCAAGUGGGGGGACACAUUAGUGUCCCAUCUAAGGACCACCCAGUCCCAAUAUGGGACGCAGGCGCAGUCCACAAAUGUUUCCACCAUUGAGGAGGUGACAUCAGAGGAGGUGGUUGGUGUGUGUGGGGUGGUUGAAGUGGAGGGCUCUCUAGACACCCUGAACCUCCUGCUGGAGGACGAUCGCACCACCAACGUCAGCAGAGCGCUGUGGGAGCCCCUUGACCCCCAACUGAAAACUCCACCCCUGAUGGUGAAAAUAAAAAUCAUUGGAAAUCAUGUUUUCAAAAUUCAAUUGUAUACAGUUUAAUUUGUUUGUUUCAUACGUUCUUUGUUCCUGAACGUUCUGUAA